CCCCUUAUGACCUGGGCUACACACGUGCUACAAUGGUUGGUACAACGAGUUGCGAGUCGGUGACGGCGAGCUAAUCUCUUAAAGCCAAUCUCAGUUCGGAUUGUAGGCUGCAACUCGCCUACAUGAAGUCGGAAUCGCUAGUAAUCGCGGAUCAGCACGCCCGCGGUCCGAAUAGUUCCGGCCUU
rnacentral:rRNA from 1 species